AUGUCAUUUGGGUUUUCCAGUCGAGGGGAGGGGAGAACUGCUGGGCGACAUCCACUCUGCUCACUCGUUUUCGAGACUACCGCACACCGCCGCGUCCACACAGCAUCAACUUCACAACAUAUCGGAAAUCCGGAGGAGGGAGGGUGUUGUUGGACAUAUCGACGUCUAACAGCUGCCCAACAAGCCAAAGGAACACAAGCAGCCUCUCUGAGCCGUGCUGGAGUGAUUGGUCCAGUUUCUGUCCAUCCUCUGAACCCAGUGGCUAUCAGCCAGUGAGCUGCGUGAGGUGUCUCGUAGCUGUGGAUUGCAUCAUUAUGAGACAAUAGCAGUGGGAAUCAAAACUCUCCUCCCUCCUCCUCCUCUUCCUCCAUCUCCUCCUCCAGUUCUUUUUCUCUCAGCCUGACUCUCCAUUGAAGCCCUCCCCCCUAACAAAUACACAGUCGUCCACACACACAUGAAACCCUCUGACCACUCCCCCCACGCUGGUCAUGGUCCACUCCCCCUGUCUCUCCAGCCAGUCAGGCAGUGAGCUGAUGGGAGCUGUGUAAUCCUCUGUAAAGUAUAGGGCCUAUACGGCUGUAUAUGCUCCCUUUUGUUAUGGCGGCUGUUAUUGUUGCAGAGGCCUCCCUCAGGAGAGAACAUGAGGGAGAACAGAAGGCAGCAUAAAGCUCACAAAGGGAGGAAGAGAGAGCGAGAGAGUGGCUGAGAGACACUGACGCUGCCAUUUAUUUGACCGGAUGAGAAUGAGCUUCACGGGGCAAUGGAUGGAAUUCAAUGGGGGUGAAACCACAUGAUGUGGGACUGGUAUUACCACCCCACGCCAGUCACAAAUUGGACCAACAGUCAACUUUGGAGAUAUUUGCCACAUAGUGACCUGCUGCAAGGAAUGCAGUGAAAUAGAGAAAAGUAGACAAGACUUUUUUUUUCCUGGUUCAGAAUAUUUUUCUAUUUUUUCUCUUGUUGUUGUUUUUCUUUUUAACUACACCUACCAAAAGUGCCUUUAAGUGAUGUUUUUGUCUAUUUUCAUUACUCGUCUAACUCUAUAUUCAUACCCCAUAAAUUAUUGCAUGCAUCUUUACAAACAGUAGCUGUCAUUGUCAGUGUGUGUUGCCAUAUUUUAGAGAAGGUCCAUAGUAUAUUAGACUUUUUUGUGUGCGUGACACCAGCCACAACACCAGCCUCCAUCAAAUCAAAUCCACAGCUGACAAUCGCCACCUUCCUGAAUUUUUUCUCUGCUCGGAGAGAGCUCACAUAGCCCCAGCGUUAAAUCACUGACAGUUAGACUGCUCCAGACCAACGUGACUUUCUGCACUGCCUCCUCCCGACGUCUGUUGCUUU
rnacentral:lncRNA from 1 species